AAAAGAACAGAAAAGUAGCUUAUGUGUCGUGCACUCCCUGGCUUUUCCCAAUAACGCUACAGAACAGAACUUACCAAAUGUGUCCACCUCUAUGCUGGCUCUUUUGGGUUCUGUAAAAGCUGGAUGCUCAACCACACAGAGAAGAUGUCGCCUCUUGGAAGGGCACCAGAGAUCUCCCAUCUAAUCACAGCUUCAGGCUUGGCUCCAGAGGCAGAGCAAGUGACAGCAUGGUAGAGGGUCCCAUUCACAACUUCCUUUUCCACAGUUAUGUCAACAUCAGGCCGAGCUUAGAGACAAAUCAGAGGUUCUGGUUCUCAACAGAUCCCAAGACUAGUUGAAUGGCUGGAGCCAAUAUGCACAAGACAUCUGAGGGUUCUCAUGGAUUCUGUACCAACUUCUCACAUUUUGUCUACCAUCUGAAGCCUCCAGUAUUCAAUGGAGUGAUGAAACACAACCCAUUCUGUCUUUCUUCUUACUCUCACUGGGGUUCAAUAAUAACAAACAGUCCUUUGUUGCUUUGAAGUUUCUGUAUAUAAAAUGCCUCAUUUA